CUCGAUUCGUUAGAACAGCUUCCAUUGAGUCUCUGCACCUAUCCUUUUCCUUUGUAUUCUAGUUCGAGAACCUUGUUUUCUCAAAACACGGAUUUGGCUCAGGAUUGCCCUUUUUUAAUUCCAGGGUUUCUCUGA
rnacentral:rRNA from 1 species